CUUAAACUUCCACUGGUACAUGAUUUUGCCCGCAUUCCUCUCCUUUAUUGACAAUAUUUUUGAAAAAGAUAUUAUUAAAAAAAAAAUCUCUUUUUUUUCUCAUUUCUAAAAACCAAUUUCCUUUUUUCUUACUCAAAUUUCCCUUUCCCCCUGAAUAGUCCUAACUUUUUUUCCCCAACUGUCCCUUCUUCCCCAAUUUUCUUCAAUCAAUCGCACGACGCUCCCCUUCUUGGCCACCACUGCGCGAGUCUUCCCUCCACCACCCAAGCUCCAAACGACCGGUCGGGCGAACGAUCUCACAUCACAGACGUUCCACCGCGCACAAACGUUCAUGCACAGGCACUGUGUGCAGAAGACCUACUCCACUCUACCACAACCCAGACUCCACCACAGUCGUUCACGCACAGGCUCCACCUCCGCUCCACCGCGCACGGCUGAGGCGGCUUCCGACCUUCUUGCUCCACGACCCAAGUUGCAAACCUUCUUGCUUCACCAUGGACGGCUGCGCACGGCUGACGGUUUCCUCAAGUUAUUUUCUAUACUUCCAAGGAAAUUGGAGUUCUUGGCAUGUUAUCCAUGGGCCACAUAUUAAUCCCACAAAGUGAUCUUCAGUACAAUAGUAGACAAAUGUUGCUGUAGCCCAUUUUAGGAGUGGAAUGAGCCACGAAGAGGUCGGCUUGUUCCUAACCUUUACCGAUAUAUGCAGCCUUGGGAAAAUGAGUUCAUGGAUUCACAGUGGGUAUGGGCUGAAUAUGCUCUGAAAAGGCAAGAAGCUCAAGCCAGAAAGAACUGAGCUUGUCAGAUGGUGACUAUGUCAUUAUGCGAAACGUAUUUUUUAUUUUCUUGAGGCAAUUUUCUCUAUUUUUUGUUUUCAAGUUUGCAGUCAUAACCUUGGGAAGUAGUUGUAGACUAUGUUUGUAUGUGAAAUCUUAAAGGUUUUCAAAAGGGCUUGCUCAUGUUGAUUACAUGCUCAACCAUUUUCUAAAGGCUAUGGCUGUAAUGAAGCGGGCUCUGGACAUUGACCCAACAAACUUAGAGGUGCUUAUUGCACUUGGUGUGAGUCACACAAAUGGUCAGUUGUUGCUUCCUUAUCUAAUUACAUGUUGUAUAUGAUUUAUAUUCACUAAAAGAAAAUUUUCUAAUCAUCUUGGCUUAAUGACAAUUGUUACCAGGGCUGGGUUUUUGUUGUGAGUUUGCAUAUAAAUUAUAUAUAGCUUCACCAGAGACUUUAAUUUAAUUUCAAAUUUUAAUUUCAAAAUUUCACUUUCUUUGAUCACUUUCUUAGAGCUAUGGAUUUCUGCACCACUCUCACUUUGUUUUCCUUGAUAUAAUGUGACCAAAUGAAGGGUUUAUCAUGGCUACCUGGCAAGUUCUUAUCAUUCAGGGAUUAUUUGUGGGUUUAUGUUGAUAUCUCAAUAUUUGGAGAGUUUGGCAUCAACUGGAACACUAUCUUGGAUCCUUCAAUGAUCUCGUCCUAUCUUUAAAAUGCAAACUAGUACUUUUCUACAAACAAUUUAGUUGUUUAAUCUUGGUCAUAAAGAAAAGUACAAUCCUACCAAGUAACACCUUAAACUGAGUUAACCACUUCCUUAUUUCUUGUAUAUAAACAAAUCAUUCUUUAGAAGUCCUCUCCUGCUAUUCAUGUCUUGUAUGCGUGUAUCUUUUUCUCUCGUUUCUUUCCUGUUACGACUUCCUACUGUUUUGAACUAGCUGUUCUUGCUUGUUCCAACUUUCCUAUAUUGCACUUUCUAUGUAUCUCAAGAGUAUGGGUUAUCUGUUGACAUUUCAGGUUCAUAUUGCUAAUGGGAUUCAGUUUGUUAAUUCAGUAUGUUGUGUUUAAAUGAUUGUUUGAAUUAUUUUAUACAAUUCAAGUAAUUAAAGUAUUAACUUCAAUAUUUUGGGAUUCAUAUUAGAUUGAUACAAGGAGCUCAUAUAGUCAAUUCGAAUUGGACGAAGUGCAAAUGAAGCUAGUUGAAUUUUUGGGUGGCCACAUGUGAUUAUGGUAAUAGCUAAGUUCUUUUGGGUUAGAUAGACAAGUUUUGUUGAUACUGGAUAUAGGUGAACUAGAUUUUUUGAUAUUUUUGUUGACACUAGAUAUAGGUUAAAGACAAGUUUGGAUAUGGUACACCUUUAGGCUACACCUAUUUUGUUUAUAAUGGAAAGUUUAGGCUAUUGUUAGAAGUUUGGGGUGCACAUAUAUAUAUAUAUAUAUAUAUAUAUAUAUAUAUAUAUAUAUAUAUAUAUAUAUAUAUAUAUAUAUAUGUUGUAAUUAAGUAUGUAAUAACCAACUUAUAUAUGUACUGUUCACAAUUUCUUUGAUGGAAAGUUUGAGUUGAUUUCAAUCGUUCAA